AGCUUCGGGUAGGUGCAAAUAACCUUUGAUCCGAAGAUUUCCGAAUGGGACAACCUAGCCGUCUGAAGGACGGUUACUCUUACCAAUGUAAGAGAGCUAACGCAGGGAACUGAAACAUCUUAGUACCUGCAGGAAGAGAAAAUAAAUGAAUGAUUCCCCCAGUAGUGGCGAGCGAACGGGGAACAGCCCAAACCAGUGGCGUCGCAAGGCGUGGCUGGGGUUGUAGGACCGCGACAUUGUACUGAAAUGGUGAGUGGAAGUAUCUGGAAAGUUACAUCACAGAAGGUGAUAAUCCUGUACACGAAGCCAGAUUAGGCAUAGCGGUAUCCUGAGUAACGCGGGACACGAGGAAUCCUGCGCGAAUCUGCCGGGACCAUCCGGUAAGGCUAAAUACUCCCGUGAGACCGAUAGCGAACGAGUACUGUGAAGGAAAGGUGAAAAGAACCCCGAGCAGGGGAGUGAAAUAGUUCCUGAAACCAUACGCCUACAAGCGGUCGGAGCAUCGCAAGAUGUGACGGCGUGCCUUUUGCAUAAUGAUCCUACGAGUUACCGUCACUGGCGAGGUUGAGUGUCAUGAGACACGUAGCCGCAGUGAAAGCGAGCCUGAAGAGGGCGCACAGUCAGUGGGGGUAGACGCGAAACCAAGUGAUCUACACUUGGCCAGGAUGAAGUCCCGGUAACACGGGAUGGAGGUCCGCACCAAUAAGCGUUGAAAAGCUUCUGGAUGAGCCGAGUGUAGGAGUGAAAGGCCAAUCAAACUUGGAGAUAGCUCGUACUCCCCGAAAGGCAUUUAGGUGCCGCGUCGGAUGGUCACCGUGAGAGGUAGAGCGACCGAUAGGACAAGAGGGCUUCACCGCCUAUCGAGUCCUGACGAACUCCGAAUGCUCACGGUCUGCAGUCCGGCAGUAAGGGGGCGGGUGCUAAGGUCCGUCCCCGAGAGGAGAAGAAUCCAGACCGCCGUCUAAGGUCCCGGAGUUCUGCCUGAGUUAGUCUAACGAAGUCUGGUCCCUAUGACAGCUAGGAUGUUGGCUUGGAAGCAGCCAUUCAUUCAAAGAGUGCGUAACAGCUCACUAGUCGAGGGUCCGGGCAUGGAUAAUAAUCGGGUAUAAGGCAGACACCGAAGGCGCGGGAUAGCAAUUAUAAAAGUAUCGGUAGGGGAGCAUACUCACAGCGUCGAAUGGUGUACGUAAGUUAUCCUGGAGCGGUGAGUAAAGCAAAUGUAGGAAUAAGUAACGAUAAGGAGGGUUAGAUUCCCUCCCGCUGUAAGACCAAGGUUUCCCGGGCAAUGCCAAUCAGCCCGGGGUCAGUCGGGUCCUAAGUCUAAGCCGAACGGCGAUGGCGAUGGCAGAGACGGUUAAUAUUCCGUCACUGCCGCAUGGGGCGAUGUGGAGACGGAGCAGUGAAACCACCGCGGGGCGACGGAAGUCCCCGUUGAAGGGUGUAGGUGUUGAGGAGAGCAGGCAAAUCCACUCUCCGAGCUGAACCUGAUAGUACGGAGUCCUCCUCGGAGGAAUCUGAUAGUGUGGGUAAUCAUACUCCCGAGAAAAUCCGCUAAGCUUAACCCAUGCGGCACCCGUACCGCAAACGGACACACGUGGUCGGGUAGAACAUACUAAGGCGUUGAGAGAUUCAUGGUUAAGGAACUAGGCAAAUUGACCCUGUAACUUCGGGAUAAAGGGUCCUCGUGAUGAGCGAGGCGCAGAGAAUAGGUCCAGGCAACUGUUUAACAAAAACACAGGGCUGUGCAAACUCGAAAGAUGACGUAUACAGCCUGACACCUGCCCGGUGCCGGAAGGUUAAGAGGAGAUGUCACCAGCAAUGGGAAGCAUUGAAUUGAAGCCCCGGUAAACGGCGGCCGUAACUAUAACGGUCCUAAGGUAGCGAAAUUCCUUGUCGGGU
rnacentral:rRNA from 1 species